CUUGGUGGAAUGAUCACAGCAGAACUGAGGGUUAAUUUGAAAAAAUAAGGGGUCAGGGAGGAGGCCGGCCAAGAUGUUUUGGAGCAUAAUUGUGGUAUUAGGGCAGCUCAUAAAAUAAGAGAGCUUCCAGAGGUGCUGUGGUCGGGAUGCGGGCCACAUUCAUGGAAAGAGGUUGAAUGCAUUUUGAAAAACUAUUUGAAAAUUGGAUUGACACCUGAAACUAACACAACAUGGGAAUCUAGAAGUUUGAAUGCCACCCUCUCAUGAGAGUCCCCAGAGGGAGAAACAUCCGCUCCCCAGACAUGAGCUGGUUCUGUAUUUCUCUCUGAGACCCAGUGAUUUCCACAUCAUCCUUGGAGUAGCCAUGAAAAAAAUCUGUCUGCUGGGCUUCCCUGGUGGCACAGUGGUUGAGAAUCUGCCUGCCAAUGCAGGGGACACGGGUUCGAGCCUUGGUCUGGGAAGAUCCCACAUGCCGCAGAGCGACUAGGCCCGUGAGCCACAAUUGCUGAGGCUGCGCGUCUGGAGCCUGUGCUCCGCAACAAGAGAGGCCGCGAUAGUGAGAGGCCCGCGCACCGCGAUGAAGAGUGGCCCCAGCUCGCCACAACUAGAGAAAG